CUUGCCUUCAGCUCCCUGCUUCUGCUUCCCGUCUUCUGCUGCCCAAGAAAGCACCUGAAACAAGGCCAGCCUGUUGAAGUUUGAACAAACAAGUCUGUGACUCAAGGCAGGGAAGCCCGUUCUUCAGCGCUGGGCGGGGCCUGCGGGUGAUCUGAAGGCCUGGGCAGAGGAAGCAGCUGUGUGAGAUGUCCUGCACAGUCCUCGCCUGCCUGUAAUGUAGCUGCUGAGGAAAGCGCCCUGGAUACCGGGAGAACGGACUCCCUGGCCAGCCUCAUGAAGAUGAUGAAGGAGGUACAGUGUGACAGCCAGGGUUGCCCAGGAUGAGCCUAUCCAUCGGAACUUCUAGGCAUUCCCUAUGUACCACAUGAACACUGUCUCUAGGCCUCUGCCCUCUUCCAAGGCCAUUCCUGCUUGGCUUGCAGAACACCCGUUGCUACGAUCUGGGAACUCCUUCCUAGGGCAAUGCCUCUGCACCUCUGGGUUCUGGCUGGUUUCUGACACAAGAAAAGACAGUUUGUCCUGACUGCAGAGAGCAAUGGUCUUCACUGUGGCUGGCCCAGACUUCUUCCGUCAUUUGGAGAGAUGGGUGUCAAACACAAU